rnacentral:rRNA from 1 species
GAUGAACGCUAGCGGCAGGCUUAAUACAUGCAAGUCGUGGGGCAGCAGGGUUGUAGCAAUACAAUCGCUGGCGACCGGCAAACGGGUGCGUAACACGUACGCAACCUUCCCGUUACUGUGGAAUAGCCCAGGGAAACUUGGAUUAAUACCACAUAUUAUAUUGGUGAGGCAUCUCAUUGAUAUCAAAGCUUCGGCGGUAACGGAUGGGCGUGCGGUUGAUUAGGUAGUUGGCGGGGUAACGGCCCACCAAGCCUACGAUCAAUAGCUGAUGUGAGAGCAUGAUCAGCCACACGGGCACUGAGACACGGGCCCAACUCCUACGGGAGGCAGCAGUAAGGAAUAUUGGGCAAUGGACGAAAGUCUGACCCAGCCAUGCCGCGUGAAGGAUUAAGGUCCUCUGGAUUGUAAACUUCUUUUCUCUGGGGCGAAAACCAGCUAUUCUUAGCUAUUUGACAGUACCAGAGGAAUAAGCACCGGCUAACUCCGUGCCAGCAGCCGCCGUAACAC